rnacentral:misc_RNA from 1 species
UAACUCUAUCAGUUGUUCUUUCUCAAAUCCUAGAUUGCCUGUGAUUUAGCAAUCUCCUUUGGAUAUUCAGGUAUGCAAAGAUGUCAGCUUAAAACCCCUAUUAUCUUUUACUAGUUCUCAUCAUAUCCAUCAGAAUGAAGUUUUACAAAAACAAAUCUUGACAAAUCAUGUCAUUGGUUUUGACCUUAUUCUGUGGCCCAUGUGAUCACUCAUGAGGCCAGCUAUCAGCGAACUUGCAAAAUUGAUUAUGUGAACACCUUGGUUUUGUAUAGUUUUAUGGGGUUUUCCUCGUUUAUUGGUAGGCUUUGGAAGGUUUCUACCUGGUUGCUAAUUUGGUUCUUUAACUGUGAUCUUAUCAUAGGGUUUGGGAGUUAUGAAUGGUAUUUUUAUAGGUGUGGUGAGGAAUGCAUACAUAAUGAUUGAACAAAUUAAAAUCUAAAGAUGAUGGUGAGAUUCUGUAUUUUUUUUAUUAUUUCUUGUUUGAAUUUUGAGGAAUUCAGAGAAAUAAAUCUGAUAUGUUUGUUACAUUGCUGAUCAAAAUUUUGAAUAGUGUCUCAUGCAAUUUCCCCACUUGCAGCACUGAAAAUAAA